rnacentral:misc_RNA from 1 species
ACCAACAAGUUAUUAUUCAAUAACCUGAAAAAUUAGAAAGGAAUAAAGAUAUUUCUGUGAAAAGACAAUAACAAUCACUUAUAAAAAAAAAUACAUAUCAAGAGGAGCCCCAAAAAAAUUGCUUGGAAAACAAUUAAGCUAUCAAUGAGAAUCAUUAAUCAAUUCAAGUUUGCACUGUAUGUGCAGGACUCUGCUAUACUUGGGUAGUGCACCCUUGGUGUAUCUUCUAAAGGAUUAUAAUGUUCACUUUUAUCAAUAUGCAAAAUGGGUAAAAUCAGUUCCUUUUGAGAAUUAAGUAAGGGCAAAGUAUCCAAUGAGGUUCAUGGAACAACUCCAAUAGUUGAUGCUUUUCUUCUGGUUGAUUUGUUUUUCAUGUAUGGAAUCCAGACAAUAAUUUUUUCCUUUUUUUUAAUUUUAAAAAGAAUUUAGAAUUCAGUAUACUCGUGCAUCUAUGGUUGUUAAAUCUUAGUUGCAAUCCUUAUCAUGCAAUUAAGCCCCAUUGUCUACCUGCUAACAACUUGCCUAAACUGGCCUGUACAGACCAAACAUAUGAAACUAAUACAGCAAAAACAAUGUUGGCAUGCUAUGACUAUAAAUGAAAGGGGGAGAAAAAGAGGCAGAAGGAGGGGGAGGGGGGGUGUAGGUGGGGGAGGAGGAGAGGAUUCUGCCUUUUGAUACAAUGUUUACGUGAAUCUGUUGCUUGUUAUCACAAGGUACUGUUAAGAGCUAUCAUCUUAGUAGCAUCAGCACCUGGAUAGAUGGAAACAUGCAUCCUUUUGAUAAUAAGCAACGAGGAAAUCAAAAGGAUACCAAUUCUAUCAUGUUUUCUAAUAACUGCAUCCCAUCUGGGAAUAAAAUUGAGUGAUGGCCUUUUCAUUGCCAAUUGCUCAUUUGCAUUCCCUUCCAUCGUGGCCUCAUUCUUUAUGACCAGAUGGAACUCUUAAUGGCAAAGUGGACAUUACACUACAAGAUGAUAUCAAAUAUACAAGGAAUCUAAUAAUAUAUUCAGUCUAUCCAUAGAAAACUAAUACAAUUAUUUUUUACAAGAAGAUAUCCAAUCAAAAUGUUUUUCUCCAUGAAUACACACUUCAGUUGAUGCAGAAUACAGAGCAGAAAUUUGCAAAUAUAAAUGAGUUCACAUGCAAUGCACAUGAGCAUGAUUUCAAGUAGUGGUUACUUGUUACAAAUCAUAAAGCAAAAUUUUGAUUGUUUCACUCAACAUUAAUUUAAAGAGAACUUCAAGAGUUAUAAUUUGAUUUCUUUUUUUCUUUGUGAAAGUAGUUUCAUUCAACUAGUAGAGUAAAGCUUAUGCAGGCAUCUGUCCUUGAUGUAUGUUGAAUGGAUAUUUUAAAAGUUUAAUAAAUUAUUGUCAAAACCCAAUAUAACGGUAGUAGUUUUAGGAAUUUCACAAAUUAUAAACUUAAAAGGAUGUUUUACACAAUCCCACAAAAAGAGAGAGAGUGAGAGAGAGAGAGGGAGAAUUGACUUGGCAUAUCACAUCUCUGCAAAGCGGUGGAGCCAGUUGUGAGUCUCAUGUUUUGCUUUCAGCAGUACUUAAAAAAACAGAGGGUUGGAAAUAUAAAGAGGAAAGAGUGGAUAGAGUAGAAAAAUUACCAAAUCAAGUAUGGAAAGAGAAGAAAUUAGAAAAACACACUCAAUUUGGACAUAUGUCAGAAGAGUGGAAUUGGUAACUGAAGCUUCAAGUAGUUUUCCCUCUUUUACUCUGUUAAUCCUUUUCUGUAGAGGGGUAGAAGAACAUGGAAAUGAUGGGUGAGAAGAAAGGUGGAGAAGGAAUGUUUAGGGCAAUGGUGGUAAUGGCAGAGAAUGUGACAAGAGAUAAGAGAGGCCAGCAGUGGGAUGAUUGCCGCUGGGAAGAUCAAAUGGAGAAUGGUAGAGGGGUAGACGAGCAGGGAAAUGUUUGGGGGUAGGAGAAGAUGGUGGUGGCUUCGGAUAUUGACAUCCAAAACCAAAAACCAUAUUGCUUUUACGCCAAUGGAGGAAAAAUACGAGAAUGGGUAGAAAUAACAGCCUCCUGCACGUAUUUCUUUGAAUUACUAGGGUCUGGUGCCCAACGAAUCUCACUCAUGUUAGGUGUCUCCACAAACGCCAUAGUAAAUUCUCCCACUUUCUCUAUGGUCCCCCUCUUCCCUGCCCUCAAAACAAGAUUGUUCCUGUUAUAGGAGAAAAUGCCAUUGAUUAAAUGGAUAAUGUCACCAGGCUCAAAAGCAUCACACUCAUCUCCCCAAAACUGGAAAUGCACAGCAGCUGUCUCAUCAGCCACCAAGGCCAAGCAUGUCUUAUUCUGCCCUUCCAUUGCUGUCCUGCCUUUGUCCAAAAGUAUGAAUUGUGUUUUUAUAUUGGUUUGAGCAGAAGGCACUAUGUCUUUCAAAGAAACCAUGCUUCUUCCAUCCAUCUCGUGUGAAAUACUAUGCAAAAACUGCUUCAAUUUACAAAAUAAGCAAAUGGAUUUGAAUCAUGUCACAUUACAGUGAAGUGCUGGAGCCAGUUGUGAGCCUUGUGUUUUGUUGAUUUGAACAUGCAUUGUUGAUAUUAGAAUUUUCUUUCAAUCUCUUUUUUUUUCUUCUGUUUUUAAGUUAUUGAUAAACUAAAGAAAUGACUUUGCCAACUUUUUGCUUUUGAAGUAUGACUCAAGUGAUUGAAAG